UACGUAAGGGGCGAGCGUUAUCCGGAUUUAUUGGGCAUAAAGGGCGCGUAGGUGGUAUGUUAAGUCAGAUGUGAAAGGCCUUGGCUUACCCAGGGUUUGCAUUUGAAACUGAUGUACUAGAGGUCAGUAGAGGAAAGCGGAACUCACAGUGUAGCGGUGAAAUGCGUAGAUAUUGUGAGGAACACCAGUUGCGAAGGCGGCUUUCUGGCCUGAUCCUGACACUGAGGCGCGAAAGCGUGGGGAGCGAACAGG
rnacentral:rRNA from 1 species